GUUGAAAAGCAGAAGCACCCGCUUCUCGCCUGAGUGGUAAUAGCCCUGGGCAACAAAAUGGAAUUAUUCACAAAACGAAUGUUUUCAUUAGCGGGGCGCACUAUGCGUUCCGCUUUUGUUUUUCUAA
rnacentral:sRNA from 1 species